rnacentral:rRNA from 1 species
GACGAACCGUGCGAACGUUGUUCGGAAUUACUGGGCGUAAAGGGCGCGUAGGCGGCCUUCUAAGUCGAACGUGAAAUCCCCGGGCUCAACCCGGGAACUGCGUCCGAUACUGGAAGGCUUGAAUCCGGGAGAGGGAUGCGGAAUUCCAGGUGUAGCGGUGAAAUGCGCAGAUAUCGGGAAGAACACCCGUGGCGAAGGCGGCUCUCUGGGACGGUACUGACGCUGAGACGCGAAAGCGUGGGGAGCGAACAGG